rnacentral:rRNA from 1 species
UACGGGGGGGGCAAGCGUUGUUCGGAAUUACUGGGCGUAAAGGGCUCGUAGGCGGCCAACUAAGUCAGACGUGAAAUCCCUCAGCUUAACUGGGGAACUGCGUCUGAUACUGGUUGGCUUGAGUGCAGGAGAGGAACGCGGAAUUCCAGGUGUAGCGGUGAAAUGCGUAGAUAUCUGGAGGAACACCGGUGGCGAAGGCGGCGUUCUGGACUGCAACUGACACUGAACGACGAAAGCCAGGGGAGCAAACGGG